CAGAAACUCCCUGGCUACGAUGUCAUGCUUGAUAAAGAUGAGACGUCUGGAGUUUUUAUUAAAAAAAAAAAAAAGGGCUUCAGAAUUUUAGAGUUUUGAAUAAACCAUAUUAGUGUAUUUAUAUUAAAGCAUACAUGUUUAUAUGUCGCUGAUGCUGAACCUCUACUUGUUGCAUGAAUUCCCGUGCAGGGAUGGUCUAAGGCACGUAUAUGUGAUUUUAUUGGCUGCUUAGGGCCUCCACACCACCAGGGGGCGCCCAAGAGCAAAAGGCUAGCAAAAUAUAUAUACAUUUUUAAAUAAUAAAUACAAACUAAAUGCUUUUAAACAUUGAAAAACAAUUUCUAUAUUACUUUCAUUACUUUUACUACAUUACUGACAUAAUAGUUUAAUCUCUUCCUGUUUCCUGCUGCCUCUAUUUGGAAAUAUAAGACAUCAAACUUGUUAACUUGUUUACUGUAAAUUCAGUGUUUAUCAGCUGAUGUUACUUUCAAGUACUUCGAACAAUAUGGUACACUUAAAUAUCACUAUUUAAGAAUUCAUUUUGGUACUCCUGUAACGUUAAAAUCAGUAGCAAUAAUACUGUCGGUACGUCGUAAGCUAAAUAGAAAUAACGCUAAUUAUAGUAAGUAUGUUACAUAGAGUGUAGAGUAGAGCCUAAGUUUAGGCCUGUU